GUUAGGAUGUCCAAGUGGUCUAAGGAGCCAGACUCAAGUUCUGGUCUCCCAUGGAGGCGUGGGUUUGAAUCCCACUUCUGACA